ACCGAGUUCGACUCAGCAUUACAUUUGACUGUGACAACCAAACCAUCAGCCACCGCUCUACCAGCAAGUUUCCUGAGGCAAUAGUCCAGCAGUUCUAACGAACCAAUAGACGAAAAGGUUGCCCCUCGAAGAGCCCGCCAGUGAUUCAGGAUCUUGUGGUUUUUCUGUUGCAUCAGCUCCCGAAUUCUUCUCAUCAUAGCAGUCCUUGAUCUGCUGAGUUAUGAAACAGAAGAGGUCUCUCAAUGUCUUCAGUCUUCGAGGUGAAAGGAACACAUAAAGGGCAAUGGUCUUCUGCAGCUGGGUGCUAAGUGAUCGGUCAUCAAGUAGAGGAGUGCUGGAGAGACCAUCCACUGCCUUACGGUAAGCCUCAGUGGUGUGACCAAAGCUGCCGGAACCAAACUGGUAUCCCCAGCUUCCAUACCAUGGCUGGCCUGCGGUGACAGCUUGGAGGAGCCGGAACUCCAUGCCGUGCUUCUUGGACACAUCCAUGACGGAGAUUUUUCUGCUAGGGAAGAAUCAAUUUUGGGGUAGCAGCAGGGAUGAAACUCUUGUUUCUACAAUUCAUGCGUGGAGGCAGUGCUUAUAACUCUAAUAAGCUAUUAACUGAUUAUCCAGUAAUCAGAAUUUGUUCAGAUUGUUAUCCAAAGUAUCGAUCUCAAAUUACAUUUGAAACCUUUUUCAUUA